UACGUAGGGUGCAAGCGUUAAUCGGAAUUACUGGGCGUAAAGCGUGCACAGGCGGUUGUGCAAGACAGAUGUGAAAUCCCCGGGCUCAACCUGGGAAUGGCAUUUGUGACUGCACGGCUAGAGUGUGUCAGAGGGGGGUAGAAUUCCACGUGUAGCAGUGAAAUGCGUAGAGAUGUGGAGGAAUACCGAUGGCGAAGGCAGCCCCCUGGGAUAACACUGACGCUCAUGCACGAAAGCGUGGGGAGCAAACAGG
rnacentral:rRNA from 1 species